CCUGUGCCACACACAAGAUGGCGAGACGUAGGGUUCGUCCCUGUGCUGCCAAAAGGGGGCGCCCGACACGGAAGGCGGGACUCCGGAGACACGAGCGCACAUUGGCCGAGAGUGGCGGGCGAACACAAAGUUGACGCUUUGCGUCCUUCCAUUGGCAGUUUCUUCCGUCUGUCUCUCGGUUGCAGCCGAGCUGGGAAUGGGGAAAACCCGGAGUGUGGGAUCGUGGAGGGCGGACGAUGCCAAGUCCAGCAGAGCUUGCGCUCGGGGCUAGAAGAGAGACUGAGUCUCCCUUCUCAGUUUCAUUAGGUAAUGGGCGACAUGGCUCCGUCUCCACAGCGGGGCUUUGCUGAGCUUAGCACGCAGUCUCCCGGCGGGGAGGAGGCGCGCAGUGCCGGGCGCCACUCCGUCUCCAGUACGCGUUAGGCCCGCGUUCCCAGGUGCCCGUCUGGCCGCUGGACUGUUGGCCUUUCCGGAGCGAGUUUUACUUUAGGAAGAAGCCCGGGAUCCCGGUAGUUUAGCCUGAAGAAACGUGGGGCAGAUGCUGGGCAGGGCGGGGAUACCGCGCCAACACCCGCUGCCCAGCGGUCGCCCUCCUAUGCAGCGGCGAAGGGACGCCCGCUGUGUCUCCGCCCUGCCCCCAGGCGCCCCAGUGGCUGGAGGUGGCAUUCUCCACUGGACGGGCGCGCCUCAAUCCGGGGGACUUCCACAGUGCUGUUCCCGAGGACUACGCGUCUCAACUCUUUGUCGGGUUCCCUCCCUCCCACUGCCAGUCUGUCUUCACCGCCGCGCAGACCUGGGGCCGCCCUUCACAGAGGAAGGGCUCCUUGACCUCAGCCACCGUGACCCCCUCCUUUGUGUCACAUUCUCAGAGAGUUGGAGGGAUUAUGCGUCAUCGUAAACAGGGGGACAGAGCGCCUUCCACCUGCGGCGCAUCCAUUAAGUUCCAGUUACCCUCGAGAGGAUUGUUUUUUCCACGAAACCCAGAUGCAAUGAGAGCCUGGCUUGUACCAUCUCUAAGCAUCGAGGCUUCCCCCUCGUCUGGGUGGUGGCCUUCGGGCAGUGGCUCCGGAAAGGCCAUCAAGGCUUCCCCGUCGUCUGGAUGGUGGCCUUCGGGCAGUGGACUGUGUCCAUAGCUGAAAACCAGACUUGACAGUUCUGGAUUCAGGCUGUUGUGGGAGCGGGAAGGUCAAACACCCAGAAGGAACUGAUGAAUGUGAAUUUCCCUCUAAGAACUGCUUUGCCUGGCCGGGCGCGGUGGCUCACGCUUGUAAUUCCAGCACUUUGGGAGGCUGAGGUGGGUGGAUGCCGAGGUGAGUGGAUCACGAGGUCAGGAGUUCGAGACCAGCCUGGCCAACAUGGUGAAACCCCGUCUCUACUAAAAAUACAAAAAUUAUCCAGGCGUGGUGGC
rnacentral:lncRNA from 1 species